rnacentral:rRNA from 1 species
UACGUAGGGGGCAAGCGUUAUCCGGAUUUACUGGGUGUAAAGGGAGCGUAGACGGCAGCGCAAGCCUGGAGUGAAAGGAUGGGGCUCAACCCCAUGACUGCUCUGGGAACUGCGCAGCUAGAGUGCCGGAGGGGCAAGCGGAAUUCCUAGUGUAGCGGUGAAAUGCGUAGAUAUUAGGAGGAACACCAGUGGCGAAGGCGGCUUGCUGGACGGUAACUGACGUUGAGGCUCGAAAGCGUGGGGAGCAAACAGG